GUCCUGUAGGAGUGUGUUUUUGGAGCCUCUAAAUUAAUGUUCUCCGUUUAUACACACACAGUCCCUGUUUUCAGUGGAGAACUUUGUCCAUUACAUGACUGUGUCCUUGGAAAUGCUGAUGAAUGAGGUGCCUCGAAUGAUAGUGAACGUGGUCCAGAUACUGCCGAUGGAGACCCUGAGGGAAGUACAGAAACCCACACCAGGAUGUCUGCUCCAAAGGUCAUUCUGCUCCUGUCUGAUAAAAUCCAGCUGCGGGAUCUGCUGAUCUGAAGAGCUGGUUGGAGUCAACCUAGAAUUCCAA